rnacentral:rRNA from 1 species
GGCUCAGGAUGAACGCUGGCGGCGUGCUUAACACAUGCAAGUCGAACGAAGACAUCUGAGUGCUUGCACUUGGAUGGACUGAGUGGCGGACGGGUGAGUAACGCGUGGGUAACCUGCCUUAUACAGGGGGGAUAACAGUUGGAAACGACUGCUAAUACCGCAUAAGCGCACGGUAUCGCAUGAUACAGUGUGAAAAACUCCGGUGGUAUAAGAUGGACCCGCGUCUGAUUAGCUUGUUGGUGAGGUAACGGCCCACCAAGGCGACGAUCAGUAGCCGGCCUGAGAGGGUGAACGGCCACAUUGGGACUGAGACACGGCCCAAACUCCUACGGGAGGCAGCAGUGGGGAAUAUUGCACAAUGGGGGAAACCCUGAUGCAGCGACGCCGCGUGAGUGAUGAAGUAUUUCGGUAUGUAAAACUCUAUCAGCAGGGAAGAUAAUGACGGUACCUGACUAAGAAGCACCGGCUAAAUACGUG